rnacentral:rRNA from 1 species
UACGGGGGGGGCAAGCGUUGUUCGGAAUUACUGGGCGUAAAGGGCUCGUAGGCGGCCAACUCAGUCGGACGUGAAAUCCCUCGGCUUAACCGGGGAACGGCGUCCGAUACUGGAUGGCUUGAAUCCGGGAGAGGGAUGUAGAAUUCCAGGUGUAGCGGUGAAAUGCGUAGAUAUCUGGAGGAAUACCGGUGGCGAAGGCGGCCUCCUGGACCAUUACUGACGCUGAGGCGCGAAAGCUAGGGGAGCAAACGGG